rnacentral:rRNA from 1 species
UGCCAGCAGCCGCGGUAAUACGGAGGGUGCAAGCAUUGAUCGGAAUUACUGGGCGUAAAGCGCGCGUAGGUGGUGUGUUAAGUCGGAUGUGAAAGCCCCGGGCUCAACCUGGGAAUUGCAUUCGAUACUGGCAGACUUGAAUGCGGGAGAGGGAGGUAGAAUUCCAUGUGUAGCGGUGAAAUGCGUAGAUAUAUGGAGGAAUACCAGUGGCGAAGGCGGCCUCCUGGAUCGAUACUGACGCUGAGACGCGAAAGCGUGGGGAGCAAACAGGAUUAGAUA